rnacentral:rRNA from 1 species
AAAUGAAUUGACGGGGGCCCGCACAAGCGGUGGAGCAUGUGGUUUAAUUCGAAGCAACGCGAAGAACCUUACCAGGGCUUGACAUCCCUUGACAGUUGUAGAGAUACAAUCUUUCUUCGGAACAAGGAGACAGGUGGUGCAUGGUUGUCGUCAGCUCGUGUCGUGAGAUGUUGGGUUAAGUCCCGCAACGAGCGCAACCCUUGCCUUUAGUUGCCAUCAUUAAGUUGGGCACUCUAGAGGGACUGCCGGCUAAAAGUCGGAGGAAGGUGGGGAUGACGUCAAAUCAUCAUGCCCCUUAUGUCCUGGGCUACACACGUGCUACAAUGGUCUAUACAGAGGGAAGCGAAGCGGCGACGUGAAGCGAAUCCCAGAAAAUAGGCCUCAGUUCGGAUUGUAGGCUGCAACUCGCCUACAUGAAGUCGGAAUCGCUAGUAAUCGCAGGUCAGCAUACUGCGGUGAAUACGUUCCCGGGCCUUGUACACACCGCCCGU